rnacentral:rRNA from 1 species
UACGUAGGGGGCAAGCGUUAUCCGGAUUUACUGGGUGUAAAGGGAGCGUAGACGGCAGUGCAAGUCUGAAGUGAAAGCCCCGGGCUUAACCCGGGAACUGCUUUGGAAACUGUACGGCUGGAGUGCUGGAGAGGUAAGCGGAAUUCCUAGUGUAGCGGUGAAAUGCGUAGAUAUUAGGAGGAACACCAGUGGCGAAGGCGGCUUACUGGACAGUAACUGACGUUGAGGCUCGAAAGCGUGGGGAGCAA